rnacentral:rRNA from 1 species
UAUACAAAGAGAAGCGACCUCGCGAGAGCAAGCGGACCUCAUAAAGUGCGUCGUAGUCCGGAUUGGAGUCUGCAACUCGACUCCAUGAAGUCGGAAUCGCUAGUAAUCGUGGAUCAGAAUGCCACGGUGAAUACGUUCCCGGGCCUUGUACACACCGCCCGUCACACCAUGGGAGUGGGUUGCAAAAGAAGUAGGUAGCUUAACCUUCGGGAGGGCGCUUACCACUUUGUGAUUCAUGACUGGGGUGAAGUCGUAACAAGGUAACCGUAGGGGAACCUGCGGUUGGAUCACCUCCU